rnacentral:rRNA from 1 species
GUGGGGAAUCUUGCGCAAUGGGCGGAAGCCUGACGCAGCAACGCCGCGUGAGGGAAGACGGCCUUCGGGUUGUAAACCUCUUUCAGGGGGGACGAAGCUUCCGGGGUUAAUAGCCCACGGGGUGACGGUACCCCCAGAAGAAGCCCCGGCUAACUACGUGCCAGCAGCCGCGGUAAUACGUAGGGGGCGAGCGUUGUCCGGAAUCAUUGGGCGUAAAGCGCGUGUAGGCGGCUUGGUAAGUCCGGUGUGAAACCUUGGGGCUCAACCCCAAGCCUGCACUGGAUACUGCCUCGCUUGAGUCCGGGAGGGGAGAGCGGAAUUCCUAGUGUAGCGGUGAAAUGCGCAGAUAUUAGGAAGAACACCGGUGGCGAAGGCGGCUCUCUGGAACGGUACUGACGCUGAGACGCGAAAGCGUGGGGAGCGAACAGGAUUAGAUACCCUGGUAGUCC